rnacentral:rRNA from 1 species
CGUGAUAGGGAUAGAUUAUUGCAAUUAUUAAUCUUGAACGAGGAAUUCCUAGUAAACGCAGUUCAUCAAACUGCAUUGAUUACGUCCCUGCCCUUUGUACACACCGCCCGUCGCACCUACCGAUUGAAUGGUCCGGUGAAGCYUCGGGAUUGUGACCAGUGCCUUUACUGGUGUUGGUUGCGAGAACUUGUCUAAACCUUAUCAUUUAGAGGAAGGUGAAGUCGUAACAAGGUUUCCGUAGGUGAACCUGCGGAAGGAUCA